rnacentral:tRNA from 1 species
UCCCUGGUGGCUCAGACGGUAAAGCGUCUGCCUGCAGUGUGGUAGACCCAGGUUCGAUUCCUGGGUCGGGAA